ACAGGAAUAGUCAUCAACACCAAUGAGUGCCAAUACACUCGCAUUCGUAAUGCGAAGGUCGGGGGUUCGAUUCCUCUUUCCGGCACCA
rnacentral:tRNA from 1 species